GACGAACGCUGGCGGCGUGCUUAACACAUGCAAGUCGAACGGAAAGGCCCCUUUGGGGGUACUCGAGUGGCGAACGGGUGAGUAACACGUGAGUAACCUGCCCUUGACUUCGGGAUAACUUCAGGAAACUGGGGCUAAUACUGGAUAGGAAUCCUUGCUGCAUGGUGGGGGUUGGAAAGCUUCGGCGGUUUUGGAUGGACUCGCGGCUUAUCAGCUUGUUGGUGGGGCAGUGGCUUACCAAGGCUUUGACGGGUAGCCGGCCUGAGAGGGCGACCGGCCACAUUGGGACUGAGGUACGGCCCAGACUCCUACGGGAGGCAGCAGGGGGGAAUAUUGCACAAUGGGCGGAAGCCUGAUGCAGCAACGCCGCGGGCGGGAUGACGGCCUUCGGGUUGUAAACCGCUUUCAGCAGGGGCGAAGCUUGUGGUGACGGUACCUGCAGAAGAAGCACCGGCUAACUACGUG
rnacentral:rRNA from 1 species